CAGGAAGAUAUAGAGGCAGAUAAUCGAGUCAAGCCGCCCUGAGCAUCAAAGUUACACAUGAAAGUAGCUCAAAUUUGGACCAAACAGAACCCCACACUUGCAGACCUGGCCACGGGCUUGGGUAUUCCAGUGUGUUGAUUAUAUUUACAUAAAUGAAAAUAUAACAUUUUACAUUAUUUGUUUUACUAAUAUUGAAUUUUUAUUUACGGGCUUUGUGUGUUUUAGUGAAAAACAUAACAUGUUUAUCUGUACUAUGGAAUUAAAGUAUAUACUGCAUA